rnacentral:rRNA from 1 species
GACGAACGCUGGCGGCGUGCUUAACACAUGCAAGUCGAACGGAAAGGCCCUGCUUUUGUGGGGUGCUCGAGUGGCGAACGGGUGAGUAACACGUGAGUAACCUGCCCUUGACUUUGGGAUAACUUCAGGAAACUGGGGCUAAUACCGGAUAGGAGCUCCUGCUGCAUGGUGGGGGUUGGAAAGUUUCGGCGGUUGGGGAUGGACUCGCGGCUUAUCAGCUUGUUGGUGGGGUAGUGGCUUACCAAGGCUUUGACGGGUAGCCGGCCUGAGAGGGUGACCGGGCACAUUGGGACUGAGAUACGGCCCAGACUCCUACGGGAGGCAGCAGUGGGGAAUAUUGCACAAUGGGCGGAAGCCCGAUGCAGCAACGCCGCGUGCGGGAUGACGGCCUUCGGGUUGUAAACCGCUUUCGCCUGUGACGAAGCGUGAGUGACGGUAAUGGGUAAAGAAGCACCGGCUAACUACGUG